GGACGCUUAGCUCAGUUGGUUAGAGCAACCGGCUCAUAACCGGUCGGUCCUGGGUUCGAGUCCCAGAGCGUCCA
rnacentral:tRNA from 1 species